rnacentral:miRNA from 1 species
GUCUCCGCCUCCUCCCCCCACCCCGCUAACUCGGCGGCGGAGGCGGCGGCGGUGGCAGCCGAGCUCCUGCCUCUCCGCCACCUCCACCGCUGCCUUUGCCCCCUGCCUGCGGCGUUGGCGGGGAGGG